CCUUCGAUAGCUCAGUUGGUAGAGCGGGGGACUGUAGAUUUAUAAUUGUGAUCUCUAGGUCGCUGGUUCGAACCCGGCUCGAAGGA
rnacentral:tRNA from 2 species